GGGGGACAUUUAGCCUAAACCUCAGAUUACAAUAGGCAUAAAGAGUACGACCCGAAAUGAUCUUAGGAAACUCUACAAAAACCAUGUAUUCCAAGAAGCACCAACUAGCAAAGAGCGCACUACUGGCUUCUCUAUUUGCUUUUACAUUGCGGUGACAUAACAGAAAGAUAACUCGAUGACAAAGUAGCAUAAUUACCAAUGGCACCGCUUUUCUGAUAUGUUGCCGUCGGGAGAGAACUCCUACGACAUGCAGUUUCACCUUGCCACUAGGAGGCAGCGACCAUUUGACCAAGCAAGGAACUCGCCGCCUACCUAGAGCAGAAACAAUACUGCCACUAGAAGACCGCGAUCAUUUGCUAACGCAAGGAACUCGCCGCCUACCUAGAGCAGAAACAUUACUGCCACUAGAAGACUGCGACCAUUUACUAACGCAAGGAACUCGCAGCCUACCUAGGACAGACCAGGCACACAAAGGGUGCAGUCCGGGACCAAGCCCACGUCGCCCCACCACCACUCGAUAGGGACUUAUUACCGGCAUAUAGCCACCAUUACCUAAUAAAGACAAAAAAACCAUAAAACUUAAAAAAAUAAAGCGAAUUUGGGCCCAGAUCCCAAGCCCAAAACGCACAAAGCCCAACCAAAGAGGAGCUCAGACUACAAGCCGCACGUCACAGUCCUGCAAGCCAGAUCCACACCUUCCGACCACUGGCAUGAAUCCUCCUGCGAGGAGCACCAUCUCUCUCAGCCCUCCGAUCACCGUGAGUCCACCCGAUCCGAUCACCUUCAAACAACACCAUCCAAAACCUCACCCACCGCAGCCUGUACAAACACCACAGACGAGCCCGACCUGGCACCCACCCAUCCCACCACCGAGACGCCACACAGCUGCGCCGCAUAGUACCACGGCUUGAGUCCGAUCGGCAACAAUAGAUCCAGAUCUGGAUCGACUCUGCCCAGAACACCAAAUCGCCGCCCACGCCCAGAACUCAGAAGCAAAGAUGACACCAGAUCAUGCUGCCGCACAACCGCGCCGCACCUCCUCUCCACACCUGCAGACGUCCACAAGCUGCGAAGGGCAGAUCGAGAACUCACAGUCCGACCCGGAAAACCAGCACCUACCACCUUACCACGGCCACGUCUUCGCCUGAGCCCCCCGUCGGAAUGCGAAAGAUCAACACAGACCCGUCCGACGACGACGUCCCAAGCACGCGCCGCCGGACGGAGCAUCACUCUCUGUCAGGGAAACCAGGCGCGUGAGGCGCG
rnacentral:lncRNA from 1 species